UACGGAGGAUCCAAGCGUUAUCCGGAUUUAUUGGGUUUAAAAGGGUGCGUAGGCGGCCUAUUAAGUCAGGGGUGAAAGACGGUAGCUUAACUAUCGCAGUGCCUUUGAUACUGAUGGGCUUGAAUGAACUAGAGGUAGGCGGAAUGUGACAAGUAGCGGUGAAAUGCAUAGAUAUGUCACAGAACACCAAUUGCGAAGGCAGCUUACUAUGGUUUUAUUGACGCUGAGGCACGAAAGCGUGGGGAUCAAACAGG
rnacentral:rRNA from 1 species